rnacentral:piRNA from 1 species
GGAGCUGUGAGGCGACUGCGGGC